UACAGAGGUCUCAAGCGUUGUUCGGAUUCAUUGGGCGUAAAGGGUGCGUAGGUGGCGCGCUAAGUCAGGUGUGAAAUCUCGGGGCUUAACUCCGAAACUGCAUUUGAUACUGGCGUGCUUGAGGACUGGAGAGGAGACUGGAAUUCCUGGUGUAGCGGUGGAAUGCGCAGAUAUCAGGAGGAACACCGAUGGCGAAGGCAGAUCUCUGGGCCGUAACUGACGCUGAGGAGCGAAAGCAUGGGGAGCGAACAGG
rnacentral:rRNA from 1 species